rnacentral:rRNA from 1 species
GACGAACGCUGGCGGCGUGCUUAACACAUGCAAGUCGAACGGAAAGGCCCUGCUUUUGUGGGGUGCUCGAGUGGCGAACGGGUGUGUAACACGUGAGUAACCUGCCCUUGUCUUUGGGAUAACUUCAGGAAACUGGGGCUAAUACCGGAUAGGAGCUCUUGCUGCAUGGUGGGGGUUGGAAAGUUUCGGCGGUUGGGGAUGGACUCGCGGCUUAUCAGCUUGUUGGUGGGGUAGUGGCUUACCAAGGCUUUGACGGGUAGCCGGCCUGAGAGGGUGACCGGCCACAUUGGGACUGAGAUACGGACCAGAAUCCUACGGGAGGCAGCAGUGGGAAAUAUUGCACAAUGGGCGGAAGCCUGAUGCAGAAACGCCGCGUGCGGGAUGACGGCCUUCGGGUUAUAAACCGAUUUCGCCUGUAACGAAGCGUGAGUGACGGUAAUGAGUAAGGAAGCACCGGCUAACUACGUG